GACGAACGCUGGCGGCGUGCUUAACACAUGCAAGUCGAACGGAAAGGCCCUGCUUUUGUGGGGUGCUCGAGUGGCGAACGGGUGAGUAACACGUGAGUAACCUGCCCUUGACUUUGGGAUAACUUCAGGAAACUGGGGCUAAUACCGGAUAGGAGCUCCUGCUGCAUGGUGGGGGUUGGAAAGUUUCGGCGGUUGGGGAUGGACUCGCGGCUUAUCGGCUUGUUGGUGGGGUAGUGGCUUACCAAGGCUUUGACGGGUAGCCGGCCUGAGAGGGUGACCGGCCACAUUGGGACUGAGAUACGGCCCAGACUCCUACGGGAGGCAGCAGUGGGGAAUAUUGCGCAAUGGGCGGAAGCCUGAUGCAGCAACGCCGCGUGCGGGAUGACGGCCUUCGGGUUGUAAACCGCUUUCGCCUGUGACGAAGCGUGAGUGACGGUAAUGGGUAAAGAAGCACCGGCUAACUACGUG
rnacentral:rRNA from 1 species